GGAAGAUUUGAUAACGCCUGGAAUUAAUGACUCGAACUGUUUUUCCGGUGCUGCUGCAAAUGUCAACAGACCAGUGUAUUUUGCUUUGAGAGAUAUGUAGAGGCUGCUUAGGUUGAUCAAACCUUGUAUUCUGCAAGUCUAUAUAAAGAGGGAUUGGCCAUUGACUUCAAACAUGGUAGCUGAUAGGUCAAGGCAUUUGCUCCAGAAUUAAAAAAGAAAAAAGAAAAAAGAAAUUGGGAAUGGGAUCAUUCUGUUUUAGCAUCAUCAAGAAUGACAGUAGCGCUGGCAGAGCAUGUUAAUUGAUGACCAGAAGACUGUUCUUAGGAGGUGAGAAAUCCCAUCCUGUUUUUUUCAGUUUGCUUCCUCGGAAUACUUUCCCUUGAAAAGUUCGGAAAAUCUCUAACCGUUUUCCAAAUGGGGCCAUGAAAAUAAAGAAUUUUUUUCUGAUUAGUUGGGACAGUUCUUAGUCAUAAAUCCUAACAAGCAUCGCAUGGCUUCUUUUCUUCAAUUUGCUGACUCUGUGAGGGUGUGUCCAUAAAGCUUUUUGUGCUGGCCCUUUAGCUUUCUAUGCCACCCCACUCCUUUUUUUUUUCAUCUCUGUUGUAUCAACCACAUUUUAAGGUGGCCAUUACAUCCUUAAAAGUUGUUUGAUAACGUGUCCUUUGUAUUAAGUGUCGUCAAGCUUCCAAGAGGGGCUGCUGCUUUUUCUUAGAUUGUGGAAGUUGUUGAAAUGCAAGGAUAAGACAGACCCGACAAAAACCAGCAAAGGAAAAGUCAUUUGCUCAAAUGGAUUAAAACUCCUCUUCAAUGCUGAGGUGUUGGUGACUGGAUUUCAAGCAGGUCAAGCACCAUACUGCACAAAGCCGACCGCAUCAAAAAAGGAAGAGAGAAGAAGGGUAGAAAAUUGCUCUUACUGGAAAUCAAACAGUUGGGAAAGGACAAGAUUAUGAUUUUCUAGUCCUACUACACAUAUAGAUCCAAGGUGAAUCAUAUGGAUUAUGCUAAAACAAUUAAUAUAAAUUGCUUCCCCCCCAAGAAGAAUGAAAGAAUAAACAAUAACUUGUUUCUAAAGUAAUCAACCCUCCAUUAGCAGGGAAGAUUUAUUCACUUCUGUCCUUAACAUCUCCAGCUGCCUUUCUGUUCUGUGGCUGUACAUGCCUGCAGAGUAUGCUCUGAGAGAUGCAGAAUCGGUAUAGGUUGAUCGGACUUGGAUUCUGAAAGCACACACAUUCAUGAAGGGAUAAAGGGGCUACGAAUUGGCGAGCCUUUAGCUUCUUGUUGCAUUAGUACUCACCUUUACCUCAUCAACAAGAACAAAAGCACAUUGACCCACAACGAUAAUUGAAAGAUAUAGAUAUGAUGAUAGCUUAGAUUUGAUUGCUUGAAAUCAUAACAAUAGAUGUUGUAGGUCCAGGUCCGCCCAAUUUUUAAAUUCU